rnacentral:snoRNA from 1 species
AACCCAUGCUGAGGGCACCUUCUCAACAGAUCCUUGUAUCUCUCCCAUGCAUCGUAGAGUGUUUCUAAAUCCAUCUACACAAAAGAAAAAGAAGUUGGUGAUGAU